UUCGAGGAUAUAAUUCGCCGU
rnacentral:siRNA from 1 species